rnacentral:rRNA from 1 species
CCUACGGGUGGCAGCAGUGAGGAAUAUUGGUCAAUGGACGAGAGUCUGAACCAGCCAAGUAGCGUGAAGGAUGACUGCCCUAUGGGUUGUAAACUUCUUUUAUAUGGGAAUAAAACGUUCCACGUGUGGGAUUUUGUAUGUACCAUAUGAAUAAGGAUCGGCUAACUCCGUGCCAGCAGCCGCGGUAAUACGGAGGAUCCGAGCGUUAUCCGGAUUUAUUGGGUUGAAAGGGAGCGUAGGUGGAUUGAUAAGUCAGUUGUGAAAGUUUGCGGCUCAACCGUAAAAUUGCAGUUGAAACUGGCAGUCUUGAGUACAGUAGAGGUGGGCGGAAUUCGUGGUGUAGCGGUGAAAUGCUUAGAUAUCACGAAGAACUCCGAUUGCGAAGGCAGUUCACUGGACUGCAACUGACACUGAGGCUCGAAAGUGUGGGUAUCAAACAGGAUUAGAUACCCCAGUAGUC